rnacentral:rRNA from 1 species
AACGAACGCUGGCGGCAUGCCUAACAUAUGCAAUUCGAACGAAACCUUCGGGUCUAGUGGCGCCCGGGUUCGUAACUCGUGGGAACCUGCCCUUAGGUUCGGAAUAACUCCCCGAAAGGGGUGCUAAUACCGGAUAAUGUCUUCGAACCAAAGAUUUAUCGCCUUUGGAUGGGCCCGCGUUGGAUUAGCUUGUUGGUAUGGUAAAAGCCUACCAAGGCGACGUGCGAUAGCUGGUCUGAGAGAAUCAGCAGCCACACUGGGAGGGAGACACGGCCCAGAAUAUUAGGGGAGGGAGGAGUGGGUAAUACAGGAAAACCGCGGAGGGCAAGAACCAGUAAGGCUGGGUAAGUGAUGAUGUCGGGAGGGUUGUAAAGCACGUUUACACGGGAUGGUAAUGACAGUACCGGGAGAAUAAGCACCGGCUAACUCCGUG